CACGUAGUUAGCCGGUGCUUCUUCUCCAGGUACCGUCAAUUCCUCUUCGUCCCUAGCGAAAGGAGUUUACAACCCGAAGGCCGUCAUCCCCCACGCGGCGUCGCUGCAUCAGGCUUGCGCCCAUUGUGCAAUAUUCCCCACUGCUGCCUCCCGUAGGAGUCUGGGCCGUAUCUCAGUCCCAAUGUGGCCGUACACCCUCUCAGGCCGGCUACCCGUCGACGCCUUGGUAGGCCAUUACCCCACCAACAAGCUGAUAGGCCGCGAGCUCAUCCCACACCGAAAAAACUUUCCACCACACCAUCCAAAAUGCGGUCCUAUCCGGUAUUAGACCCAGUUUCCCAAGCUUAUCCCGAAGUGCAGGGCAGAUCACCCACGUGUUACUCACCCGUUCGCCACUCGAGUACCCCUGCAAGCAGGAGCCUUUCCGUUCGACUUGCAUGUGUUAAGCACGCCGCCAGCGUUCAUCCUGAGCCAGGAUCAAACUCU
rnacentral:rRNA from 1 species